UUUCCUCGUAGUAGCCUGCUGCUGCCUGGCUGACAUGGGACGAUCAGACCCUCACAGGAUCAUGGCCAUGAUGCAGACCGUGGCGAGCUCCAGUCCCGGGCAGUCCUGUGUGCUGAUUCUGAUCUUCACAGUGCUCCUGCAGUCCCUGUGUGUGGCUGUGACUUACAUCUACUUCACCAAUGAGCUGAAGCAGAUGCAGGACAAGUACUUCCAAGGUGUCGUUGCCUGUUUCUUAAAGGAAGAUGACCGAUUUUGGGACCCCACUGAUGAAGAUUCUAUGAAUAGCCCCUGCUGGCAAGGGAAGUGGCAACUCCGCCAGUUUGUCAGGAAGAUGAUUUUGAGAACCUAUGAGGAAACCAUUCCUACAGUUGAAGAAAAGCAAGUUAUUUCUUCCCUAGAAAGAGAAAGAAGACCUCAGAGAGUAGCAGCUCACAUAACAGGGACCACUCGGAGAAGCAUUACAUUCUUAGAUCCAGACUCCAAGAGUGAAAAGGCUUUGGGCCAGAAAAUAAAAUCCUGGGAGUCAUCAAGGAAGGGACAUUCAUUCCUGAAAAAUUUGCACUUGAGGAAUGGAGAACUUGUCAUCCAUCAAACAGAGCCACCGACAUCUCUAGCCUGGAUUACAGCAAUACCCUUCAACCAAUCUCUCUCCUUUUGCCCUGCUCAAUCAAAUCUCAGCCAGAUGGCUCCUGUUAAAACCCAAGUCAUGUCAUUUCUCUGCUCAACCAAGUUCGAUGGAUUCCCUUCUGCUACAAGUGGUUUACAGUCUCAAGAGCAGAGAGUGACAUACCAUGCGUGGUCCCCACGUCACCACCAGAAGGGAAGAUUACUACUUUUCUUCUUGUUUGCCAAUGAGUGAAACAGUAUCUCAUUUUUCUGCCAAUGGCCAAGUUUCUUUAUCUGCUGUUUUCGUGUUGGUCAGCAAAGAAUUAUUCUGCUUACAAUACUGACUGCUCCAGCAAUUGUCAUGCAGGACCCAACUCAUACAGACUUGCAAGAGAGAGUGUCAGCCUUGCUUUGGAAUGCUGCCUUCAGUAAACACCUUGGUAGUGUGAAAUUGACCACAGGGGGAGUAGUUAACUCAGAAAUUGGCAAACAUUACAAAUUGAAGCUUUGGCUUAUUUUCCCUGAAGAUCUGGUUGUUGAACAUUUCCCAGUACACCAUGGCUCCAGCCAUUUUUAAUACAUUCUCCAUACCAAGGUCUGUUAUACAACUAUGCAACAGAGAAUAUCUGCCCAUGAUCAAAGCAUUGGCAAUACAUUUGUAGCUUAGCAUGAAUUUAUUGUCUGUAAUGAUCAGUUAAAUCCAUCUUGCAAUGAAAUGAUGUAGCCUAUGUUUAAAAUUUUAAAAUUUUGGUUUGUGUAGGGGUUUUCCUAAGUAAAUAUUUGUAUUAGAUUGUGCAGAUGAAAUCAAAGAAAAAAUAUCUUCUCUUUGUACUUUCUGAAGCUACGAGUAUAUUUAUAUUGUAUAAUUCAUGUAAACCACUUAUGUAUGAAUAAAGCAGGAUUCAGCAUACAAGUCAA